rnacentral:pre_miRNA from 1 species
CGACCGUGGAAACCAAGCGUCGGUGGAGCCUGUAGGCAUGGCAAGAGGCGACCCAUGCUUGGUUUCCAGGGUCA